AGAGUUUGAUCAGUGGCUCAGAACGAACGCUGGCGGCAUGCCUAACACAUGCAAGUCGAACGAGACCUUCGGGUCUAGUGGCGCACGGGUGCGUAACGCGUGGGAAUCUGCCCCUUGGUUCGGAAUAACAGUUAGAAAUGACUGCUAAUACCGGAUGAUGACGAAAGUCCAAAGAUUUAUCGCCGAGGGAUGAGCCCGCGUAGGAUUAGCUAGUUGGUGAGGUAAAGGCUCACCAAGGCGACGAUCCUUAGCUGGUCUGAGAGGAUGAUCAGCCACACUGGGACUGAGACACGGCCCAGACUCCUACGGGAGGCAGCAGUGGGGAAUAUUGGACAAUGGGCGAAAGCCUGAUCCAGCAAUGCCGCGUGAGUGAUGAAGGCCUUAGGGUCGUAAAGCUCUUUUACCAGGGAUGAUAAUGACAGUACCUGGAGAAUAAGCUCCGGCUAACUCCGUG
rnacentral:rRNA from 1 species